GUGACCGGAAAUGACAGUGUAUUGGUGUAUACUGACUUCUAAUCCCCACUGAUACGUAUCAAACUAGUGUAGUGGCAUUCCAUUUUCAGUCCGCGCGUUGGCGACGUACUUCGCUCCUUCCUGAAUCAAGAUGUGCUCCGCCCAAAUGGUCCUCAUCAUUUUGAUUGGCAUUGCCACCAUUGAAACUGUGACUGGUUUUAGUGGUGGUGGUGUUACCAUGUCCUGUGACACAAUGUUGCCCCAACAUGGUUCUCCCACACCUGAGAGUGGUCCGUUUAGUGUCCCUAAACAUUUCUGUUCCAGUGCUGCAGGAGAUGAGACUAUAGUGUCACUCAAAGCUGAUCCUGCCACGACGUUUAAAGGGUUUCUGUUGGAGGCUAGGGAAUCACAGGAUGGACCUGCUGCUGGCACCUUCACUCUGCUCACUCCCGCUCAUAGCCGCCUUCUUCAGUGCGGUGGGAAUCCAGCAGCUGCUGUUACCCAACCAAACAACCAAGCCAAGACAUUCAUCGAAGCCAAGUGGAGAGCACCAUACAAAGGAGUUUUCUAUUUCAGAGUCACAUUUAUUAAAGACAUGAUGAAGUUCUGGAUACCAGAGGCCAUUAACAUCACCACCUGUCCUACUACUACUACUACUACUACCCCUAUUACUACUAUUACUACUCCUACUAUCACUACUCCUAUCAUUACUACUCCUAUCACUACUCCUACUCCUACUCUCACUACUCCUACUAUCAUUACUCCUACUAUCACUACUCCUACUAUCACUACUCCUACUAUCACUACUCCUAUCAUUACUACUCCUAUCAUUACUACUCCUAUCAUUACUACUCCUACUAUCACUACUCCUACUAUCACUACUCCUACUAUCACUACUCCUACUCCUGCUCUGCACACAUCUGCACCCUCUACGUGUAUGCUUAUUAGCGCUCUCAUUCGGCCUUCACUCUUGGUCAUGAGUCUUCCAAAAGGCCAGACACUUUGGCAUAAGUUGUUCAAGAUAUUGUUGUGUCCUCUCUCAAUGGUUGCAGCCAUCAUUGCCUUUAUUCUUUUGCUGCUAUGGGAGCCAAUACAAAUAACUCUUGUGGCUGUUGUGGGUGUGGCAAUGGUCCUGAGCUUGGGACAAACGAUUGUUGUUUUUCUACCCUUUGGGUCCAGCCAUGAACUGAGGUCCAUCUGUGAUUUGGUUCUCAGAGUGAUUGCCUUCACAACUGAGGUUUUUACCAUCGCGGCCAUAUUUGUGGGUCUGGAGGAAAUUGAGAAGUGCUGCUCGAUACACUGGCGCAUGAAAGUGAUGGGAGGGUAUACAGCCUGGGUGGCUCUGUUCUACUUGAUGUUCAUAUACCUCUGUUGCAACCAGAGUUACCAGAGGAAAAGAAAUGCAGGAAUUGAUGACAAAUGGAUUGUGCCAAAGAGAACGACACUCUCUUUUGAAAAAAUCCUCAAAGUUAUCCUCGUUCUGGGCAACUUUGGUUUUACAGUGGCUCUUAUCAUUGGAAUAUAUACUUAUGAGACAUGAGGACGGUGUAAAGCAAGAGAUGUGCUCCGCCCAAAUGGUCCUCAUCAUUUUGAUUGGCAUUGCCACCAUUGAAACUGUGACUGGUUUUAGUGGUGGUGGUGUUACCAUGUCCUGUGACACAAUGUUGCCCCAACAUGGUUCUCCCACACCUGAGAGUGGUCCGUUUAGUGUCCCGAAACAUUUCUGUUCCAGUGCUGCAGGAGAUGAAACUAUAGUGUCACUCAAAGCUGAUCCUGCCACAAAGUUUAAAGGGUUUCUGUUGGAGGCUAGGGAAUCACAGGAUGGACCUGCUGCUGGCACCUUCACUCUGCUCACUCCCGCUCAUAGCCGCCUUCUUCAGUGCGGUGGGAAUCCAGCAGCUGCUGUUACCCAACCAAACAACCAAGCCAAGACAUUCAUCGAAGCCAAGUGGAGAGCACCAUACAAAGGAGUUUUCUAUUUCAGAGUCACAUUUAUUAAAGACAUGAUGAAGUUCUGGAUACCAGAGGCCAUUAACAUCACCACCUGUCCUACUACUUCUACUACUACUGUCACUCCUACUACUAUCACUACUUCUACUACUACUGUCACUCCUACUACUAUCACUACUCCUACUACUACUGUCACUCC